rnacentral:rRNA from 1 species
CAGUAGCCGCGGGAAUACAGAGGGUGCAAGCGUUAAUCGGAAUUACUGGGCGUAAAGCGCGCGUAGGUGGUUUGUUAAGUUGGAUGUGAAAUCCCCGGGCUCAACCUGGGAACUGCAUCCAAAACUGGCAAGCUAGAGUAUGGUAGAGGGUGGUGGAAUUUCCUGUGUAGCGGUGAAAUGCGUAGAUAUAGGAAGGAACACCAGUGGCGAAGGCGACCACCUGGACUGAUACUGACGCUCAUGCACGAAAGCGUGGGGAGCAAACAGGAUUAGAUACCCCUGUAGUCCCUGUCUCUUAUAA